rnacentral:snRNA from 1 species
AUUUUUGCGCUUGGGGCAAUGACGCAGCUAAUGAGGUACUAACCGAGGCGCGUCUAUUGCUGGUUGAAAACUAUUUCCAAACCCCCUCAUGGGCCUGGGCUUGACCUAUGGCCUUUGAGAAUUUCUGGAAGGGCUCCCUUCGGGGUAAAGCC